CUCGGCUCCCCAGCCGCUCUCUGCCCGGCUGAAGGUGCCCACUCCCUGCUAGGGAAAACCGUUCCCGGUGGCAAAGGCGCUCUCAGCCCUGGGGCUCCUAGGGAGAGGCAGACGGAGCUGACCGGCCUGUUGUCUCCUGGCCACCCGCCUUAGGAGGGAAUCUGGUUGGCGGCGGCCUCUGGGGGGGGGGGGGGCCUACCAGGCUUUGGUGUUCUCCACAUCCACCUGAAGUCAGGACCAGGUGGUCUUUCAAGCUGAAAUGUGGAUGCAAUUCGGGCUUCGUGGACCUCGAACUACAAUUUAGCCUGGCAGCGUUGAAUCACGUGGACUGGCUACUUGCCACUAUUUGUGGAAGUCAUUCGUUGGACUUCCUAUCAAUCAGACUUUCCUUUCAAGAAAAUAUCAUUAGCUAUUUUGGCACCCUCUAGUCUUUGGUUUUAUAUUCUGCUCGGUUCUUUAAUACUCUCAGUAUUUAAGGAAGUAGCUGUGGCAUGUAUGCCCUUUCUAGUGCACCUUCUUGUUUGGAAACCUAAUUUAAACACUAGGGAAACAGACAGUGGUAGGCAGAGGGGGUUGCAAUAAGUUUUGUAAGCAACAUUCUGUUACUCCUGAACCGUUUUUGCAGAGGACAACUUCUAUAAUUAUUUUUGCCAGAAUUCACUGUGGGGAUUCUCUCUGUUGGAUCUGGAUGCACGUUAUCCACGUGGUCAUCUGGGUCAAAGAGCUUUAUCUUCUGACAAAUGGCAGUGAAGAAUGAAUACUUCCAGCUGUGAUCUUAUUGUAUUUCAUGAGAUGGGAGAUUUCCAGAAGUCCUAAAGAAGCAGAAAGUGAGGUUUGCAAGUCACCAUCAGGUCUUUCCUUUCAGUGCCCUGGAAAUGAGGAUCACUCAUGCACAGUAUUAAAUGCACAGUGGAAGCAGCUGCUGCCCCUCUCUGUGCUAGCCCAGGGAUCAGAGCCAUCUGGGAUUUGUGAUUGUCAAUGGAAAACCUCCUUUCUACCCG
rnacentral:lncRNA from 14 species